rnacentral:lncRNA from 1 species
CCUCACCCAACAUUGAAAAUUUACAGUAUCACACUUAUAUUGUAUCAUCGUUAGUAAUAAAUUAAUUAUAUUUUUAUUUUUGAAAGAAUAAAUAGAAUACAAAUAUUUUUUUUCUUAACUAUGAUACAUAGGAUACCACGCCGGUAAUAUAACCGGUGCAUUUUAAAAUAUUUUUCGAAGCAAUGAGGUGGAACACUUAUACCACGUCAUUAAUAAUAAUCAACUAAUUAUAUCUUUCUGUUUCAGAGUAAAAGUAUAAUAAAAAUAUUUUUCUAUUAACUAUGAUGGAAAGGGUAAAGUUAAGAGAUUAAUGUGAUUGGUUGUGAAUGCGACGUCAGUAAUAUAACUGUUACAUUCUAAACUUUUUCUCACCCGAUCUCUGCGGACCCCACCGCCCCAUGAUCCCUGUAAUGAUUCUGAUGAAUGACAGCUAGACACGUGUAAAAUUGUAAAUGGGGGGCAUUAAAACUGUUUAAGAAAAAAAAAAAGAAAUUCUCUUUAUACAAACCCAAAAAUAGAAAUUAGAUCUUACAUCCCUUAUUUUAAAAUUUAUAAAAAUUACAUAAUUUUUAGUAAAAAUAUAAAAAUUAAUGUGAUAAGUAAAAAAAUUAAUGACUCUUAAAUAAAGUGGGUAUAAGAUGUAUAUCUUAGAACCUCUUAUCCAGACUGUAUGGGCACAAGUGAAAUUUUCAUUAUUUUAUUUUAUUUUAUUUUAUUUUAUGACAGUUUAAUUCAAAUUCUAACAGCAUACCCCUUCAUUGUACAAUGUUUUUUUACCACAAUAAUUUUUAGGGGCAAUUGCCUAUAUAUCUUUGAAAAGUUUUCGAUUUUUUUAUUUACCUCUAUUAGAAAGCUAAUAUUGAAAAUACCCUUCUUGUGUUCUAAGUUCUUUCUAAUAUAUCCCUAGAGUUAAAUUCCGUUAGUGAGGUGUUAACAAUUAUCGUUAUCUCUAAAAAUUACCAUUUUGCCCAUUCCAAUAUUCCCUUAUACCGUAACUAACUUUUCUUACAUAUCCUUCAUCUAGUAAAUACUUUUCUUAUUUGCACUUCAAAUAUCAAUUAAUUAAUUAAGCACGUGGGAGCGAGUAGAUGAACGGAUAAGAUCGAUCACAGCUAAACCAACCUUGGUGGCUGGAGGCAUAGUUAGUUAAUUCGGAUUCGGCGAAAAUUCGGUACGGAUAUAAUUCAGAUAAAAUUCGUCUUUUAAUUUUUAAAUUCUUUGAAAAAUACGGUUAAAAAACGGAUUCGGCAAUUAUUCGGAUACGUGAUUUAUACGGGUAUUAUAUGUUCACCAAUUAAAAAUUCGAGAUAAAAAAUUCGGCUAUAUAAUAAAUAUAUAAUAAUUAUUAUACUAUAUAUAUUAUUAUUAUAAUUUUUAUAUAUAGAUUAAAUAUAUUUAAAAUUAUAAUAAAUAUAUAUUAAUAAGAAUUGGGCUCUUAUGCUUUUAAAAGUACCAAAUCAUUGGUGCUUGUAAAUUUUUGGCCCUUGAAUUAAAGCAUAUGCGAUCACUAGGCAAAUGAUAUCGAAAAAUAAUAAAAUUGAGUGGGUGCUAGGUACUCCAAAUAAAAUUUAUUUUCUAGGUACUCCAAAUACUCUAGAUUAAGUUUAACGGAGCCGAUCGACGAUUCGAAAGACACAACAUCGAAAACAAGCUAGAAGCACGGAAGGCUCCGUGCUUCCGAUAGCAUCGUAGCCUCACUCUCUCUCUCUCUCUCUCUCUCUAUAUAUAUAUAUAUAUAUAUAUAUAUAUAUAUAUAUAAUGAGAGGGAGGUCCACAGGGAGGUCCACCGUGGACCUCCCUCUCCGGUCCACGAGGCCAAACUAGCCUCGUGGACCGCGCAUAAUCUCUGCUCCCCUCCGCGAGCAACACCGCGCCCUCUUGCUCCCGGCACGCGGACGGCCUCGGGCGGACGGCAUGUGGACGGCCUCAGGCGAGAUUGGGUCGUCGCUGCGGCNCUCCGCCUGCUCCUCCGCCUUCUCCUCCUUCCUCCUCGGCAGCGGCCUCGCCUCCCCCUCCCUCUUCAACGGCUCCUGCGACCUCUCCUCCUCCUCCUCCUCCACCGGCGGCGGCGGAGACCUCGCCGCGGGGGCGCGGCCGUGCCAGUACGCGUCGCUCUCGGAGCUCCGGGCCGCCGCGCCCGCGGCGCUCGACAACGCCACCGCGCUAUGCACUGGCCCCUCCGCCUCCCCCGACCUCAUUGCCGACCAGGCCGGGUGCGCCGCGUGCCAGAGCGCCGUGAUCGGCCUCGCCUUUGCCCUCCUCGGUGCCGCCGGCCCAAUCGCCGAGCUCGUCCCCUGAGGCAUGGCCGCCACCAUCGAGGUCCGGUCCCGCUCCCGGCCCUUCCUCCCCCGCUUCCGCUCCUACGCCCUCUGCAUGGUCCAGGUCCUCGAGAACGUCAACGCCCUCGGCGGAGGAGGAGGAGGACGACGACAAGAGCGGAGGCGACGGCGCUAGGCUUGAGGGUAAUGAGGCCAAGUUGGGAGAGAAAGAGAGGAUAAUUUAAGAAAAUAGUUUAAUAAGGUAGGGGCAAAAUAGAUAUUUUAAUUAGGUUUUAACUCUGGUAUAUAUUUAACCCAUAUUUAACCCGAAUUAGUUUAACAGGGAAUAACUGCAGGUGUAUUUUGGAAUAACGGUGGAACAUAUGAGUGGUAUUUUAGAAAGAAAAAAAAAAUAGGAAUAAAUCAGAUAUUUUCAAACGUAUGAGAGAUAUAUAGGCAAUUAUCCCUAAUUUUUAAAAGAGUUUUUAAUUUUUAAAAGAGCUUAGUCGUUAUAGUACGAUGUAUUUAAUUAGUAAGAUACAAAUAUAAAUUUUACACCUUAAAAUUUCUUCGCUUGUUAUAUAUUUAUGAGAGAGAGAGAGAGAGAGAGAGUAGGGCUAUUAUACUCUUACGAUUUUAGAACCCUUCGUACUCAUAAAUUGUUUUAGAUGAUGGAGUUUCCGAUUUGGCGAUCCACUCAAUUAAAUAUGAUCUAAAAUAUUUGAAACUUCUAAAACUAAAUUUCGUAAUGUUUCGAAAUCAUAAUAAAAUCUAUCAAGCGGGCAUAAAAAAAAGGUCAAAAUCGAACGACGUUCUAAAAAAGGAUAAUCGGAUUCUUCAAUUUAAGAUCAGAGUUAUUGAUCUUUAUCUAAGUAAUGAGUAGAAGUCUCUAUCAAAAAUUCAAUCUAUUCCAAUUCUUUUACACCGUUAAACUAGCAAGAAUCUUAUAGUGGCCAUUAAAAAUUGUCAAUUUUGUGAUCAUUUGUUCGUAAAGUAAAUGGUAUCGAAAAAUUAUGAAAUUUAAUUUUCAGAAGUUUUAAAUACUCUAAAUAAUAUUUAACGGUAUAGAUCGCCGAUUUGGAAGCUUUAUCAUAAAAAACGACUUAUGAGUAUGUAUGAAGGCGAUCGUCUUUAUAAAAGAAUAGUAAUCCAACUAUAUAUAUAUAUAUAUAUAUAUAUAUAUAUAUAUAUAUAUACAAAUAAAAAAUUUUUUCUUUUGCGGUGGGCCCCGCAUGGGGCUACACAUGGCAGCCACGUGGCUUGCGACCUGCAACCCUUUACUUUUUCUUUUCUUUUUUUUCUUUUUUUUUUUUGUGCUUAACUAUAAAAACACUUCCUGCAUUUUACCACGUUGAGAUGCCUCCUCUAUGAACAAAUCUGAUCGGAGGUGGUUCAUAAUUCUCCCCGUACAAUCCGAUCGGUCGGAUUUGGCAAUCCGCUCGGAAAUUAAUUCUCGAUCGAUCGCAUCACUCGUGACGAUUUUACAAUCAAAUUCGAUCAGUCGGAUUUGGUGAUUCGCCCCAGGUCGAAUUCGGCAUUCCGAAUCGGUUUUGAACCUGAGAGUUCGGGGUUUUACAUAUGAGAUCGUGCAUAUCCCUAAGUAAAACUUUUUGAGCGAAUCUUUUGAAGAGUUUUACGAGAGAAAAAUUAGGGUUUUGAGAGAGCCAUACAAAGAGGAGAGAAGAAUACAGGUUGUAGUGUUCCGAUCUAGAAGAGGAGAAUGGAGAACAUUGAUUGGAGUGGCUCGUUCAAAACGGUGUUAAGGAGUUCUUCGAUAGAAAAGUUUUUUUUUCUUGUAUUAAAGGUGAUAUCUUUGGGGCAGUGUCGGAGAAGAUAUUGUACUCUUAACUACUGCAAAAAUCUUUAUGAUUCAAUCGAGGAGGCAACUGAUAGACCCGCCAAGAUAUCAGAUAAAGAAUGUGAGAAAUUAUAUCGCAAAAUCGUUGAAAUUAUUAGAUAGCGGAUUACACGAUAGCAUUUUCCACCAUGUUUCGAUGGCGGUAAAUUAAAGCCCUAAGACUUUGGCUGAAACUGAAAAAAGAGUUUAAACGAGGGAAAGACGGCAUAGAAUAAAGUGUUCUUCAUCCACAAAUCGGCGAACUCGAAAUAUAAGGAGGGGACUUCCACGGCGAAGCCUCUAAGUAACUUUCAGAAUGUUGUGAACCAGGUAGACAAGAUGAAGAUGGUGUUGUUAGAUGAGGAACGGUCGAGAUGGGGGACGACUGAGAAUCGAAGAUCAUAGACCUGGGAGAUAUUGUGCUUAUCACAAGUUUGAGGUACGUACGAACUGGUGCUAAAGAAUAUAUUGUUCGACACGCCGCAGAUAUUCACUUACAACUAUUGUCGACAGGGUGCUAGAACAAAAAGGUUACUGCAGUGUGUUCGGCGAUGGCCAGUGGAAGCUAACCAACAAAUCAAUAGAAGCAGCCAGAGGUGCCAAGCAUUGGCUCUUUCUACUUAAUAUAGGGAAAGCUCAGCAAGUGGGGAGGUGAAAGAAGCAGGGAAACUACGCACCUCAAAGCUAUGGCAUCGACAAUUAGGACAUAUAAGCCAAAAAAAAGUAUGUCAAUUUUGGCUAAUAUAAUACUUUUUCUACUGAUAGUUGUGGAGCGAAAAGGUGUGACAGUUUGCAAUCCUUUGGGAGGAAUGUUGCCGUAAGAUUGACAGCCGCAGUUAAAUGAAUAAACUCACCAAACUUUCAGCUACAUGAUGAGCAAUCUGGCUUGAAAGAAAUAGUGUUAUUUUUAGGGGACGAGGCUCAAGCCCAACUCAAGUUCUUCGCCGUAUACAUUCAUUCCAACAGGAUUGGUUAGAACAAUGCCGUUAAUUAUAUACUCGUUGCUUAAUCCUUCUCCCUAUUCUUUCAUCCAUUUCCCCCUCUAUCUCUUUUCAUUUUUUGAUGUUUUGUUUUCUCCUUUCUUGAGGUCUUGACUGCCUUCUUUAUAUUGUCAAGUUCAUACCACUUUAUGAAUGAAGCGAAUAGCUUGCUAUCUUUUUUUUUAAAAAAAAAAAGAAAAAGAAAAAGGAAAAGGUGUGACAGUUAGUUAUCUUAUGGGUAAGCAACGAAUUUCAUUUUAGACCUUUUUUCCCCAAAAAAGAACUGGUGCUUAGAUCUUAUUCAUAAUAAUAUAUGUCAUAUGAUUGAUAAGAAGACUCUUUUAGAGUAUGUUCUUGUUUCAUAACUUUCAGUAAUAAUUAAUCACCCUCUUUUAAAAGUUUGGACAUAUGGUUUAAAAUCAAAAGAGCAGGUGCUCACGUGUUCAAGCAGUUUCACAUCUCUGCUGAGAAGGGGACUAGGAAAAAGAGCAUAUGGGCGGAUAACAGGGGUAAAUAUAGAGAGGUUCUUUUGAGAAGUAGUGUCAACAAAAGUAGUAUUAGACUGGAGAAAACAGUGCCUGAAAGAACACAAAGAACUGGGGUUGCUGAGAGGAUGAACUUGACGAUCUGCGAGAAGAUCAAGAGUUUUCGGAUUCGAGGUUAAGGGUCGAAUGAUGAUUAGAUCUGGAUAAUUACUUUUUGUCUGUGUGUUUCUGUUCUUUUGUAUAUAUAUAUUUUGUAUGUAUAUCUUCGUGACAGUAAUCGGCUGAUUCAACCGUCCUAGUUUUUUGUUUCGAGGUUAAGGGUCAAAUAGUAGUUAGAUCUUGGUGUAAUUAUUUUUGUCUAUGUGUUUCUGUUCUUUAAUCUUUUUAAUUUAAAUUUUUAUUAGCCUAAUUUUUAGGUUGAGAGUCAAACUGAUUCAAGAUUUAUUAACUUAAUUUUAUUGUUGCUUAGGUUUAUAUAUGAGUCUCGAUCUAUCAAAGAUUUACAACAUCUUUGAUAGAUGUAAGUGAGAACACACAAACAUUUUUUGAUCCAAAAAACUUCAAAAUGAUUCAAGUCUGAAUUAAACCCAAACAGCAAGCUAUAUCUUACCAGUAUCCCUUAUGCGUCUUGACACAUUUAUAAAUCUGCAAAAUAUGGGUCGUCCAACCACGUAGCUGACAUAUAUUAGGUGUGUAACAGACGACACAUAUCUGGUACAGACAGAGCAUUUAAAAAUGAAGCAUCUGUGGCUCUGCGCAUCAUAGAAUGAACUCUCAAUACAUCAAUUUGUAAUUACAUUGUACCAUUGUGACCGUACGCAUUAGUUGAUACUACGUCCUGUUCAAUUGAAUGCUAAGAACAAUUAAUUGGAAGCAAUAGAUCUUUCAGAUUUAUGAAGGUACCACACUAGAAGAUGGCAACAGUUGGUAGAAAUUAUUGGACUCUUUCCCAGAAUAGCUACACACAUAAUUCCUACAUAUCUGAACAGCAUAACUACAGAUUGUAACAAUUUAUUGAUCAUUGAAGUCUCAACUAACAUUUAGAUGGAUCAUGUAGUGCACUACUCUUUCUCAACUGCCGAUUGUGCUGUUGCCUACUCGAUAUCUUGUUAAAUCUUAAAUGGGCUCAAUAGAGGAUUGCAGAGGAAAACAAUUGCUUACUAAAUCCAAUGAAGAAAUGUAAUUAGCAAAGCACUGUAAGUGACUACCGCAAACGAAAAUAAUGAUUGUUAAAUAAAAAAAAAAAAAAAAAUCAAGUACAAUUGGCAGAGAGGAGAAUUACACAGUACCUGCUUAAUCGAGUUGGUUGAGUGGUGGGGUUGAAUUGGGGAAAGUGCUGCCCCACAAUGAAAAAUGUAGCUCAGAGGAGGGGCAAAAAAAUUUAAUGUGUGCUAAUGAUAGUUAGGUACUAACAACAGUCAGUUAACUACCGGUAAGCAAACUAUAGUAGAGAUAAACGUGCGGAAACAGAACCUUGAGGAAUAGUCGUGCAAAUAAUAACUUUAAUGGGUUUGACGAAUAUACAUACUUGAUGUGUAUGUUUGAAAAAUCUCAGGACAAAACAAGCCAAUGAUCAACAAAUAAGGAAGAAUUAAUGCCUAUGAUGCCCCUACUACAGUUCUAAUAUCGGAAUGGUGUUAUGAUCAUCCCAAUUCUUAUUUGGUUUUUCUAUUGGGUUUGGUAAUCAUAUUAGAACUAUUGUUUUGAUUCUGGGCCUAUAAAUAAGAGGCUCCCCUCUUUUACAAUCAAUGGUCAUUUAUUUUAACGAAAAAGAGUUAUUCUUAUUGACUUCUAGUAUAGGCUAAGUUAUAAGAGAAAGCCCCCUCUUCUACUUGGAGCAAAAGGGCGUUCGAUAGAAAUCCAAACAACUUAGUAUUUGAGCUAUAGUUAGGAGUAGAAGAUCCUAAAAGAUGGAUGAUUAAUAGGCAACUUUAAGAGGCUAAAGUGUUAUAGUAACAGAAGCGGAACUAUGUUAGUGAUGAAAAGAUUUAAUAGAGCAGAAUAAAAUUCUACCUUAAGCAACUUGGCAACUAUUCAACUCUUGUAUAUUAAAAUGGUAUCCAAGGUUGCAAUUCCAAUUUCACAAAUAAAAGUUCAUUUCAGUGAAGUUCGAAUUUUUAUUCUUCUGGCAGUUUCAAAUUCAUUUUCAGUCAUUUCAUCUAAAGUAAUUUUGCAAAUAUAAAAAAUAUGCAAAUAUACGGAUCAAACUUCAACAUAUUUGGAGAUAACAGUUUCUUCUUACCGCAAAAACUAUGAACUUAGAAGUGAAGAGCAAUUUGAAGAAAUGACCUUAAAUCUAAAUUUGGAUAUAAUAAUUUUACUCCUUUUUGGGCUAAAAUUUUGGAAAUUACGGAACUGUUUUUUUUUUUUUUUUUGAGAGAGAGAAAGGUAGCAUGCUACCCGCUUCGUUUAUUUUAUUUAGAAAUAAACUUAGCUGGAAAUGUGAAUCAACUAGGAUUCGAACUUGGAAAUUACGGAACUGUUAUAACACAUUACAGUUAGAUAAUCAAAUGAGCAUAAUAAUUCAUCUAAAUAGCAAAAUUAUAUUUGUCAGCUAAACAUUAAUGACAAGUAUUCAAUGUGGAAAUUUGUAAGCUAGGAUUUAAAAAAAAAAAAAAAAGUUUGUAGAUCUACAUCAAUUUGUGUAGAUCUACAUAAAUCAAUGGCAGCCAUGGAACUUAAAAGAAAAAGGAAGAAGAUUAAUUGACUUGUUAGACUAUGCUGAAUAUGCAGAGAUUUUUCAAACCAUAAAACCAAACUCUCAGUGUUUCAAAAGGCUUUAUCUGAUAAGUUCUCCACAUUGUAUACUAACUGCAUACCGCUAAAGUGUUCCAUAUAGAGGUGUCAACGAGCCGAACACGAGCGAGCUAGGGCCGGCUCAUGUUUAGCUUGUUUAUGAAACGAGCCAAUCUCGAGCUAGCUCAUUAAAGUAUCGAGCCUAAAAACUCAGCUCGUUUAUUAACGAACCGAACACGAGCUAGCUCAUGGACAACUAGUUAAAAGAUUAGAAAGAAUAUAUAUAGGAUAUAAAUUUUCGAGAUCUUAUCCAUUAGACUUUGAUCUAAUUGUUGAAAUUUUAUACAUAAAUGGACCUUUUUAUAAUUGAGUUGGGCAUUAUAUUUAGGUUGGGAUAAAAAUUAAAUAAUAAAAAUCUGUAUUUUAUAUAUAUAUAUAUAUAUAUAUAUGUAUUCGAACUGUUGUCGAGCCAAACACCAGUGAGCUGACCCUAGCUCGUGUUCGGCUCGUUUAUAAGCAAGCUAAAAAAUUCAGCUCGUAUUCGACUCGUUUACUAAACGAGCGAUUUGAUCUCGAGCUCAUUUCGAGCCAAACACGAGAUGGCUCCCGAACAGUGAGCUGGAUUGCCACCCCUAGUUCCAUAUCACAAAUGAACUGGCAAACUAUUAGAAAUAAUUUAUUACCUGCCAACAAAUUAAGUACUAUAGAGCAAAAAGUUGCUGACAUCUUACAUAAGUGUGAGCAAACUCCUAUUAACAAAGCAAGUAGUAACCAAAAUAUGCCAAAAAUUUGUAAACCAAGAUAUGUCUUCCUCUAUAAAAAAAGGUAGUGAAUCUUCUCACGUCAAACCAAGACAACAGACGGUUGAGCAACAUUGCAUCCUUCAUUUGAUAGAGUACAGCUAAACGAUUGAAAGAUAAUCACUUUGUCCAUGCAUCUUUCAAAGGUGUUUCCUAUAUAUUUGAUAAUGAUAUUACAUGUUAGUUGAUUACAUCAAUAAUAUGUUUAAUUGAAAUUCCAGAUGCCAUUCAAGGAAUAACGAUUGGUGGCCUAGUUUAGCAGUCCAUAGACGUCAUAACGCACUUUUUAAAUUACCUCAUCCUAAUUACCAACUAAACAUCUAUACAAGGAUUUGUGUUUCAUAACUGGAGAAGCUCGGUUCAUUUACCAGAUUAUGAAGAGAAGCAAAUCCAUAAUGGCCACCAAGGAGAAAAAUGGCCUCAGUAAUUGUUUGCUUAUCCUUAUGAACCUGAUGUAUACGUGUAGCGUGUCUGAGCUCCAACUAUUAGCUCUACAACCUUAGCUGCAUGAGGAAUGAAGCAAGAGUAAACCACCAUGUACUUAUAUUUUAACUCAAAGCAAUAAAAAACAACAAUAAAAGUAGUAACUAAAUGUAAAGGGUCAAGCAGAGCGAAAGCCAUACGCACCAGUGAGAAAGCCAAAUAAUGGAACUGGGCUCAAAUAUCUAUCAGCCUUUUCAAGAUGAUGCCUGAGAAUACAACAUGUUAAGAGUAAGAACAAAAACUAAUAAACAAAAGCUGUAGUAUAGAUAAGAAGAUGUGUAUAAUUACUUGGUAUACUUGGUGAAGAAUGGGUCUCUCAUGAUAUAAAGCGCCCAUAUCAGCUUUCUUCUUUUUAACUGGGACAUGCCAUAUAAUACCCAUAAUCAGCACUUCACACAAGAAGUAAAAAAAAAAGAAUCCAUCUUAAGGAAUUUAAGUGCACUUGCCUCAUCUUUUUCAGAGGUAGAGAGCUGAUAAAAUUUCACUCCGACUCUGUGAGGUCGACUAGCAGCAUGCAAUAGGAUGCUCAUACUACUGAGAUCUACAGCCAGUGACACUAACCAAGGUUUCCACGAUCUAAUCCCGUAUUUUCUUAUGAACAUCACAUAUAUAAGCGGUCUCAAGAUAGAGAGAAUCUCCCCAACAAAAAAUAAACGGCCCGAAAGCCCUUUCUCUGACCAAAUACUUGACAGCGUAGGUUUUUCUACCACCAAAGCUGAAGAAAAAUCGACAAUACAUAAAGAACUUGUGAAUUUUCAACAACACAAAGUACAAUACAGCUCAACAAUCAUAGAACUGAUUAAAAUAGGUUAAAACGUACAGAGACUACGAACUAUAGACCCGUUUGAAAUGGGUACCAGAAUCUCAAACAUACUGAUUUCAAUCACCUAACCUUUCAGUAUCUCCAAUUUCAGUGCCUCUCAGUCAUAAGAUAAUGAUAUUGUGAUUCUUUUCAAAUUAGCAGAAUUUUACAUUACUUGAUGGGAUAUUCUAUAACUAUUUCCUGACGAAACUGUUUAGUUCUGAUAAAACUUGAUUGAGAGGAACUGAAAUAAAGCAUAAGGGAAAGUUAGGUACUAAAUUCAUAAUUUAAAAUUUAGAUACUCACUUCAAAAUGCAGUAUAGUUCAGCUAGUCUUUGCAGGUUUUUCACCUCUAAAAUAUUAC